rnacentral:rRNA from 1 species
GAACGCUGGCGGCAUGCCUUACACAUGCAAGUCGAACGGCAGCACGGGAGUAAUCCUGGUGGCGAGUGGCGAACGGGUGAGUUAUACAUCGGAACGUGCCCAAUCGUGGGGGAUAACGCAGCGAAAGCUGUGCUAAUACCGCAUAAGAUCUACGGAUGAAAGCAGGGGAUCGCAAGACCUUGCGCGAAUGGAGCGGCUGAUGGCAGAUUAGGUAGUUGGUGAGGUAAAGGCUCACCAAGCCUUCGAUCUGUAGCUGGUCUGAGAGGACGACCAGCCACACUGGGACUGAGACACGGCCCAGACUCCUACGGGAGGCAGCAGUGGGGAAUUUUGGACAAUGGGCGAAAGCCUGAUCCAGCCAUGCCGCGUGCAGGAUGAAGGCCUUCGGGUUGUAAACUGCUUUUGUACGGAACGAAAAGGUCUUUUCUAAUAAAGAAGGCUCAUGACGGUACCGUAAGAAUAAGCACCGGCUAACUACGUGUCAGCAGCCGCGGUAAUACGUAGGGUGCAAGCGUUAAUCGGAAUUACUGGGCGUAAAGCGUGCGCAGGCGGUUAUAUAAGACAGUUGUGAAAUCCCCGGGCUCAACCUGGGAACUGCAUCUGUGACUGUAUAGCUAGAGUACGGUAGAGGGGGAUGGAAUUCCGCGUGUAGCAGUGAAAUGCGUAGAUAUGCGGAGGAACACCGAUGGCGAAGGCAAUCCCCUGGACCUGUACUGACGCUCAUGCACGAAAGCGUGGGGAGCA